GAAGACAGAGUUUUGGCUAAAAGCUCAGUAAAAUAAACGUUAGACUUCAUUAAAAAUCUGUGAUAUACAGACGGAAACAGUAUUAAACAGUGAAUUUAUCCAUCUACAACACGGAUUAUGGAAGACAGAGAGAGAAAGAAGCUGAAGGAGACUGAAAGGACUGAACGAGCCGAUCCGAUGAAGAGCAACUUGGUGGAAGGGUGUCUCUUCUUGGCUGAUGGUUACCCUCUUUGGAAAUUUCCCUUUUCACUCCUUUUACACUUGGGUUGAUGUGGUUGAAGUCACUCCUUUUUGAGGUGUUACAGCCUGUGUGUGUGGUUUGUGUAGCCUCCAGUGUGGGGACCUAGCCAAACUAUCUGACGCCAGCUCUA